rnacentral:rRNA from 1 species
ACAGAGGGGGCAAGCGUUGUUCGGAAUUACUGGGCGUAAAGGGCGCGUAAGGCGGCCCGCUAAGUCGAACGUGAAAUCCCCGAGCUCAACUCGGGAACUGCGUCCGAUACUGGCGGGCUUGAAUCCGGGAGAGGGAUGCGGAAUUCCAGGUGUAGCGGUGAAAUGCGUAGAUAUCUGGAGGAAACACCGGUGGCGAAGGCGGCAUCCUGGACCGGCAUUGACGCUGAGGCGCGAAAGCUAGGGGAGCAAACGGGAUUAGAUACCCCGGUAGUCCUAGCCCUAAACGAUGAAUGCUUGGUGUGGCGGGUAUCGAUCCCUGCCGUGCCGAAGCUAACGCAUUAAGCAAUUCCGCCUGGGGAGUACGGUCGCAAGGCUG